CUUUUUAGGGUUAAAACGUCAAUAUUUUAGACGAGUCGCCUAAUUUUUAGGGACUGAUGUCAUUUUUAACGCGUCUCCUAUUUUUAGGGACC
rfam:Populus trichocarpa isolate Nisqually-1 chromosome 1, whole genome shotgun sequence.